AUUGAACGCUGGCGGCAUGCCUUACACAUGCAAGUCGAACGGCAGCACGGGAGCAAUCCUGGUGGCGAGUGGCGAACGGGUGAGUAAAGUAUCGGAACGUGCCCAGUCGUGGGGGAUAACGUAGCGAAAGUUACGCUAAUACCGCAUACGAUCUAUGGAUGAAAGCGGGGGAUCGCAAGACCUCGCGCGAUUGGAGCGGCCGAUAUCAGAUUAGGUAGUUGGUGGGGUAAAGGCUCACCAAGCCGACGAUCUGUAGCUGGUCUGAGAGGACGACCACCCACACUGGGACUGAGACACGGCCCAGACUCCUACGGGAGGCAGCAGUGGGGAAUUUCGGACAAUGGGCGAAAGCCUGAUCCAGCCAUGCCGCGUGCAGGAUGAAGGCCUUCGGGUUGUAAACUGCUUUUGUACGGAACGAAAAGGUUUGGCCUAAUAAGCUGAGCUCAUGACGGUACCGUAAGAAUAAGCACCGGCUAACUACGUGCCAGCAGCCGCGGUAA
rnacentral:rRNA from 1 species